GCACAUGUGCCCAACCCUGGCUGCGGCGGCGGUGUUUAAAGACAGACAUAAAAGCGGCGGGGGGAGUGCAAAGGGGGAGGGCGGUGGUGGGCCGGGGGAGCCGCACCUCCUGACGCAGGGAAGAGCCCCCCCCGCCUCCACCGCCCGCAGCAGCAUCUCCUGAGCUGGAGGCGGGCGGGGAGGGGCGGAGGAGAAGGGAGACGCCCCCCACCUACUCGCCCUCUUGCCGGCGCCGCCGGGGCCUACUCGCAGACCCGUACCCAUGUGCUUCAUGCGUGGGCUGCGAGGGGCCUUAGGAUGAGUGUUGAGUUACGAAGUAGAAAAACUACUAUCAUCUAUGCUGAAAAAUGGACCACAAGGGGCUACAAUUCUGCAAUACAGAGCAAGGCAAUCUCAGAAGAAUGGACACAGCAAAGAAGGAAAAAAGAAAAAAAGGUUUUUCUAACGAUACCAAUCCACAAAUAGAAAAAUGAAAUCCAUCAGUUUCAAAGUGUAUUUUAUGACGGUGGAAGAUUACACUUCACAAGCAAGUAUGAAAUGUUUUGUAUCACAUCUAAUUGAGCCUGAAAAUAAAAUAAAAUAAAAUAAAAUAAAUAAAAUAAAA
rnacentral:lncRNA from 1 species